rnacentral:rRNA from 1 species
AUCCUCCAAGGCUAAAUACUCCUGAUUGACCGAUAGUGAACCAGUACUGUGAAGGAAAGGCGAAAAGAACCCCGGUGAGGGGAGUGAAAUAGAACCUGAAACCUUGUACGUACAAGCAGUGGGAGCCUGAAAGGGUGACUGCGUACCUUUUGUAUAAUGGGUCAGCGACUUAUAUUUUGUAGCGAGGUUAACUGAAUAAGGGAGCCGAAGGGAAACCGAGUCUUAACUGGGCGAGUAGUUGCAAGGUAUAGACCCGAAA